rnacentral:lncRNA from 1 species
AAGACUCUUCUCGACCUCGGCCAAAUUUAUCCUCGACCCCAAUUCCAAUUCUUCUCGACCCUGGUUCAUAACUGUUUAUUCUUCGGCCAUGAGUUGUUCUUUGGUCGAAAGGAGCCGUGAGUAAACAGCAGCAAGGGAUGACGGUCAAAAGUACAUCUGAUUAGGCUGGAGAUACUUAAUUUCCUUAAUCAUUCGGCUUACGAGCCGAAGUUCAAGGAAACUGGGGGGCAAUGUUUGGACCCAAAUUUACAUCAUCGGCCCGUGUAAUCGAGACCGUAGAGUAAACAUAGUUCUCAGCCGUCGGAUGGAAAAGUGAA